rnacentral:rRNA from 1 species
AUUGAACGCUGGCGGCAGGCCUAACACAUGCAAGUCGAGCGGAUGAAGGGAGCUUGCUCCUGGAUUCAGCGGCGGACGGGUGAGUAAUGCCUAGGAAUCUGCCUGGUAGUGGGGGAUAACGUCCGGAAACGGGCGCUAAUACCGCAUACGUCCUGAGGGAGAAAGUGGGGGAUCUUCGGACCUCACGCUAUCAGAUGAGCCUAGGUCGGAUUAGCUAGUUGGUGGGGUAAAGGCCUACCAAGGCGACGAUCCGUAACUGGUCUGAGAGGAUGAUCAGUCACACUGGAACUGAGACACGGUCCAGACUCCUACGGGAGGCAGCAGUGGGGAAUAUUGGACAAUGGGCGAAAGCCUGAUCCAGCCAUGCCGCGUGUGUGAAGAAGGCCUUCGGACUGUAAAGCACUUUAAGUUGGGAGGAAGGGCAGUAAGUUAAUACCUUGCUGUUUUGACGUUACCAACAGAAUAAGCACCGGCUAACUUCGUG